rnacentral:lncRNA from 1 species
AUUUUAUUUUAUUUUUUUUAAAAUCAGUGAUAAAGUUAAAAUUAAAGGGUACUAAAGUGAAUAUUUGAUAAAUCUUGCUGGGUAUCUGAAGUUUUUUAUAUAUAAUUUAAUGAAAUAUUAACGAAAAAGCUACCGAAAAGAUAAAAAUGAAACCACAGGGGGGGGCAAAUUGAUACACUUUAAAUUACAGGGUACUAAAGUGAGAAAAAACGAAACCACAAGGGCCGUUUUUGAAGUUUUACCAAAAAAACAUUAAGAGUUCGGUGAGUUAUUUUCGAAAUAGCUUAUUUUCACCCAAGAAGAAACAGGUUAAUUGCACAUUAGUCCUUGACAUUUAAACAACUUUUUAUUUUGUUACCAAACUCUCUCUCUCUCUCUCUCUUUCUUUUUUUACUUUUCUACGAUCAGAUUCUUAAUAUUUAAAUUAGUCACAUUGCUUCUCUCUAACCUUCUUCACUCUUUUUCUUUUCUUUUUUUUCUUUUUUUUUUUUUAAUGCUUUAGGGACUGUUUGGUUCCACGUAAAAUUAUAAAAGAAAAAUUCAGUGACAGAAAAAUUUUCGGAGGAAAAUAAAUUUUACGCUUCUUAGUGUUUGGUUUGUAGAAAACAAAAAAUAAUUUUUCAUUACGGUUAUUUGGUUGAGUGGUCUCCCUAGGAUUGAGUGGUCUCUACUGGGUUAUAAUAUUUAAUCCAAUAGUUAGAAAUAAUGAAAGGAAUUGAUCCAAAGGCUAAAAACUUGAUAGUAAAAAAAAAAAACUUUGCUAUUAAUAGUAUUCUAACCCAACUCUACAUAUGUAUAUUGAUUACGAGACUCCAAUUAUUACUUUUUAAAAAAUAUUUAUUUUCGAUAGGUUAUUUUUAUGUCAAAUUAAUGGAUAAUAAAAUAAUAUCAAAAAAAAAUAAAAUUUGAUUUCUAAAUUUUUCAAGUGGUAUAGAUCAUAUUUAACGGUAUCGAUCGUCGAUUUAGAUGCUCCAUUAUCGAAAACAAAUGGAUGACAAUGAAAUCAGUUUGCUACUCAAAGCGUUCCAACUCAACUCUAUAUAUAUAUAUAUAUAUAUAUAUAUAUAUAUAUAUAUAUAUAUAUAUAUAUAUAUAUAUAUAUAUAUAUAAGCGUAUAGAAAUUCCGACAAUGACAGACGGAAUCUAAAACGGAAUAAAAUAAUAUUCCCUCCGAAAAAGGAAUAAAAUAAUAUUCUCUACGAAUGGUUAUGAUUAAUUUGUUAAAAAUAUCUCAAAUAGAAACAAACGGUUAUAAUCAAUCUAUUAAAUCUCUACUAUAUUUAAAAAGGAAUAAAAUAAUAUUCCAUACAAAUGGUUAUGAUUAAUUUAUUAAAAAUAUCUCAAAUAAAAACGAACGGUUAUGAUCAAUCUAUUAAAUCUCUACUAUAUAUAAAAAUCUAUUCCUAAUGGUUAUGAUUAAUUUGUUAAAAAAAAUAUCUCAAAUAAGAACAUGCAUGAUCAAUUUAUUAAAAAAUAGCAUUCAUAUCUAUCUAUAAAUUCAAUCCUACUAAUGAUUAUAAUCAAUUUGUUAAAAAAUAUCUCAAAUAAAAACAAAUGGUUAUGAUCAAUUUGUUAAAAAAUACGAUUCCUAUUUAUCUAUUUUACAUUAAAAUUAAAAUUUGAGUUUAAAUUAUGAAUUAAAUUUAAUUUUUGAUAUCAAAUCUGAAUUAACAAUUAAUUUUUUUAUUACAGUGGAUCAAAAUUAAAAUUUAAAUUUUAAAGUAAAUGUGAAUUAAAUUUUGAUGCUUUUAGUUCAAAACACAUAUCUAAAUUUGAUUAAUAAAAAAUCAAAAAAUAUAUAGAAAUGUUCGAUGUAUAUAAAAAAAAGAAUAUUGUAGGAUAUUGUAAAUAUUUUCUAAUAAAAUAUAACUUAUUAAAUUAUAAAUAUAAUUUUUAUUGUAAGAUUUUAAAUAUAUAUAAUGUAUAAAUUUAUAUUGAUUUAAUAAAUUAUAAUAAUUGUUACGUGCAUUUGCACGUACAUUCAACUAGUAUAUAUAUAUAUAUAUAUAUA